rnacentral:lncRNA from 1 species
UUGUACAAUGAAAAGGGAUUUGUGUUUUCAAAGUACUUCCCCAUAUGACUCCGAAAUAUCUCAAUGAAUUUAGAUAUGUUGAUCAGGUUACUUCUAGAACAAUCAGACAAAGUACUUGUUAUAAGCUUUUUGUUCCAAAAAUCUAAAACUGAAUACUAAGAACGCUCUCUAUUGAUAUCUGAAAGUGUUUUGUGAAAUAAAUUGUCUACAAACAUAAAACAAAUCAAUUAAAAAAAAACAUAUAUUUAAGCAUUAGAAUUAAAUAUUUGUAUGUUAGUAUUUACAUCAUUGAAUGUUAUACUCAAAAUUGUAAAACCAGGUUUAAUCUACCAGUUUCUACAUAAGAAACAAAACACGAAUAUUUGUAUGCACCUAUAUUGUCUGGUUUACCAUGUAAACUAAGAAUCAUAUAUUCAACUUUAAUAUGUUAGAAGUAUUAUUUUGGUAAU